AACGAACGCUGGCGGCAGGCUUAACACAUGCAAGUCGAGCGCCCCGCAAGGGGAGCGGCAGACGGGUGAGUAACGCGUGGGAAUCUACCCAUCUCUACGGAAUAACGCAUGGAAACGUGUGCUAAUACCGUAUACGUCCUUCGGGAGAAAGAUUUAUCGGAGAUGGAUGAGCCCGCGUUGGAUUAGCUAGUUGGUGGGGUAAAGGCCUACCAAGGCGACGAUCCAUAGCUGGUCUGAGAGGAUGAUCAGCCACACUGGGACGGAGACACGGCCCAGACUCCUACGGGAGGCAGCAGUGGGGAAUAUUGGACAAUGGGCGCAAGCCUGAUCCAGCCAUGCCGCGUGAGUGAUGAAGGCCCUAGGGUUGUAAAGCUCUUUCACCGGUGAAGACAAUGACGGUAACCGGAGAAGAAGCCCCGGCUAACUUCGUGCCAGCCGCCGCUGUAAGAC
rnacentral:rRNA from 1 species